rnacentral:rRNA from 1 species
AGAGUUUGAUCAUGGCUCAGAUUGAACGCUGGCGGCAGGCCUAACACAUGCAAGUCGAACGGUAGCACAGAGGAGCUUGCUCCUUGGGUGACGAGUGGCGGACGGGUGAGUAAUGUCUGGGAAACUGCCUGAUGGAGGGGGAUAACUACUGGAAACGGUAGCUAAUACCGCAUAACGUCGCAAGACCAAAGAGGGGGACCUUCGGGCCUCUUGCCAUCAGAUGUGCCCAGAUGGGAUUAGCUAGUAGGUGGGGUAACGGCUCACCUAGGCGACGAUCCCUAGCUGGUCUGAGAGGAUGACCAGCCACACUGGAACUGAGACACGGUCCAGACUCCUACGGGAGGCAGCAGUGGGGAAUAUUGCACAAUGGGCGCAAGCCUGAUGCAGCCAUGCCGCGUGUAUGAAGAAGGCCUUCGGGUUGUAAAGUACUUUCAGCGGGGAGGAAGGGAGUAAAGUUAAUACCUUUGCUCAUUGACGUUACCCGCAGAAGAAGCACCGGCUAACUCCGUGCCAGCAGCCGCGGUAAUACGGAGGGUGCAAGCGUUAAUCGGAAUUACUGGGCGUAAAGCGCACGCAGGCGGUCUGUCAAGUCGGAUGUGAAAUCCCCGGGCUCAACCUGGGAACUGCAUUCGAAACUGGCAGGCUAGAGUCUUGUAGAGGGGGGUAGAAUUCCAGGUGUAGCGGUGAAAUGCGUAGAGAUCUGGAGGAAUACCGGUGGCGAAGGCGGCCCCCUGGACAAAGACUGACGCUCAGGUGCGAAAGCGUGGGGAGCAAACAGGAUUAGAUACCCUGGUAGUCCACGCCGUAAACGAUGUCGACUUGGAGGUUGUGCCCUUGAGGCGUGGCUUCCGGAGCUAACGCGUUAAGUCGACCGCCUGGGGAGUACGGCCGCAAGGUUAAAACUCAAAUGAAUUGACGGGGGCCCGCACAAGCGGUGGAGCAUGUGGUUUAAUUCGAUGCAACGCGAAGAACCUUACCUACUCUUGACAUCCAGAGAACUUAGCAGAGAUGCUUUGGUGCCUUCGGGAACUCUGAGACAGGUGCUGCAUGGCUGUCGUCAGCUCGUGUUGUGAAAUGUUGGGUUAAGUCCCGCAACGAGCGCAACCCUUAUCCUUUGUUGCCAGCGGUCCGGCCGGGAACUCAAAGGAGACUGCCAGUGAUAAACUGGAGGAAGGUGGGGAUGACGUCAAGUCAUCAUGGCCCUUACGAGUAGGGCUACACACGUGCUACAAUGGCGCAUACAAAGAGAAGCGACCUCGCGAGAGCAAGCGGACCUCAUAAAGUGCGUCGUAGUCCGGAUUGGAGUCUGCAACUCGACUCCAUGAAGUCGGAAUCGCUAGUAAUCGUAGAUCAGAAUGCUACGGUGAAUACGUUCCCGGGCCUUGUACACACCGCCCGUCACACCAUGGGAGUGGGUUGCAAAAGAAGUAGGUAGCUUAACCUUCGGGAGGGCGCUUACCACUUUGUGAUUCAUGACUGGGGUGAAGUCGUAACAAGGUAACCGUAGGGGAACCUGC